rnacentral:lncRNA from 1 species
CUCCAACAGAGUACCCAAACAGAAGACCCAUUUUGGAUAUCAGGAGAGGCAUAACCCCAAAUUUGGGUAUCCUCUCUCCUCGAGACCUAUUUGCAGAGAGUGUUGUCUUUUAGGUCUUGUUGUUGGAGAAGACUAAAAAUAGGUAUCGAACUUUUUACCUGUAGCGCUACCCAAAGGACAAAUGGGUCUUGUAUUUUGGGUGACGAUCGUUGGAGAUAGUGUAAGACGAGCAUCUCCUCGCCUGCUUGCUUCUCUGCGACGGGAUCCUCUGAUGUCAACUUCACUGUAACGACUCUUCUUUCGUGACCUCUAUUUAUCUCUCGUAAAUACAGAACCAGUGCAUGCCCAAUGGCCGAAGCAUGCCACUAGAUCAUAUUACCCACAUGAAUACAUGAUACAACAUUCCUGGAACCCAUCAACUUCUACAAAUAUUCAUCAAAUAGACAAUUAACCUACUCCCAAACAGUGGCAACCGAGCAUGCCACACGGCUUACUAAUAAUUUAAAGAAACAUGAGCAUAUGGCUAUGCAUUUCCAAACAUUACAUAAACAUAUCCCACAAAAAAAACAAUGAUAAAACCCUAAUAGAAAUUGUUUAACAUUCAUGAAUGUGAAAAGAGUUCAACAGAUCGCGUCACAUUAAUACCUCAUAGCAGUCAAACAGCUCAGCAGGAUAAAUGGUUCCUAAAAAGUCACAUAACAGUUCAAAAAUAAAACCUAAAUCAACGCGUACACUAGGCUACAACUCAACUCCACAGUUGCAGCUGCCUGAGACUUUUGAGAUGCGUGACAUGCAUCUUGCAUAUGCUGCUGCUCAGGUUAUCUCCUUGCAUAUGCUGCUGCUCAGGCUAUCUCCCACCAAUAGUCAGCCCUUCAAAUAAAAAAUAGCUAUCAGCAAGCAUAUUUUUCUAUAACACACUGAAUUUUCUCAAAUAUGGAAAAUUUAUUUGCAUUAAUGAACGAUAAUCAUGCACUGACAACCUCUGCAGGUUCUUCCACUUGAGCUUCUGCCCCUGCAGGUUCUUCCACUUGAGCUUCUGCCCCUGCAGGUUCUUCAUUUCCCUGGGAAACAAAGGUACUGAACAUACCAAAUAAAAAAGGUUAGAUAAUUGAAGCCAAUUUAUUUUAAUCAAGAAUAAAAGUAAUCUAUUCAUAUUAGAUUAUUCUUUGAGUUCAAUCAAAUAUGGGACAGAUACUACCUUUUCCAGUGUUUAAAAGUAUCUCGUAGCUGCCAAACAGUCCAUGCUUGCCAGUGUCUCUGAUCAAGAUAUGUUAUCCCCACGAGAUCACCAGACAAAUUGAACAAUGGUGAUCCUAAGUAAGCAUACUCAUGCAUAGGGCAAUCAUGAAAUAGAACUCUGCUACAAACACCUCUGUUUAUUAAAGAAGAAAAAACAUCAUUAAUUUUUUUUAGACAACAAUAUUACAUAUAAUGUGAUAAUAUAUGAGAGAUCUUACGUUACUGAACCUCUGCAAUAACCGGUUGGUGUAAUAUACCCUUCUCUAGGAAAAACAAAUGAAUCAACAGGAUCACCAACUUGAACAGACUGAGUCUCAAACCUGACUGCUUUUAUAUAGCCAUUUUCUCUUGGCUUAGCAUCAAAUAUAUAGAAACCUUCAGCAGAUUCAAAGGCAGCAAGAACAGCAGAUUUUUUGCGCUUACGAACAGCAACAAGUUUUUGUCCUUCUUCAUAUCCUGUAGCAUUUGGGAAGUUCACUGCAAAAUUUUUUCUCAUCCCAAAAAAUGUGGAAUUCGCUGCUAUGACAGCAGACCCAUCAUCCUUGAUUGAAAGAAUAAUGCCAGCAAUAACCAUAAACCGCCUGUCCUUCGACUUCGGCAUCCAGUCAAAAGAUAUACGCACAAUUGACCUACGGACCUCCUCCUUAAUAUCUUGGGACUGCUGUUAACAAGAAAUUUUUUUUAUUAAAAAAAAAACAGAAAACCAGAUAGGGAUUAGGUAAACCAUCACAGAAAGAAGUGACGGACCUGCUGCUCCAUGAAAACGGCGCCAAUCUACGGAAGAGGAGAAGGGAAUGAGGAUGGCACCGACUGGCCGGCGCAGGACCUGCUCGCAGCUGUGAGCGUGAAUACCACCUCCCUCCGCACCGCAGCGUGCCUUGGACAGGCGCUAGGGAUAAGAGGGCAGAUCGUACCUUGGGAAUCAGCCGUCGACUCGUCGUGCUGCGCUCGUACUCUUGCCGGCUUCAGGAUCCGCUCCUGCCCCCUGGAACCUCGCCCUCCAAAUCCCGCCGUGCGCCGUCCUGACAGUUGCGCUUGCGCCUGACGCCGCUGGAUCUGAAGGACCAGGACAGCGACGGCACAAGCAGGAGGAUGAGGAACGGAUCUGAGGACCGAAGAGCAAGGCAGCCGCCGACCGACGCCCAAGCCCACCAAUGAGCAGUCGGGGAUUCUGUUGAGGGGUUUCGUGUUGUAGAGAUCCCGACAAGGCGACAACGGUCUUUAACAAAUGUGCCCUCGGAUACGAACGAAAGGUUGACAUACAGGAUACUCCCUCCGUACCUGUUAUUUUUUAGGUUCUGGGCCGGUGAGAAGAAUUCGCAAAGCUUGACGUUGCACAGCCGCAUACUCUAAUACGGACGCAAUUGCCCCUGCAUGUGCCUCGCCACCCGUAUGCGACUGCUCGGCUUCACCCGUAGUUAAUUGUGCUGCCUCACGAGGAUGACUUUGUCGCCAAUACGCUGGCACAGCACGCGUCAAGGCAGCACGCUCGCACCCAGGCCAAACCCUUCAUGCUAUCAAGCGCAUGCAUGGGAAGAGUGCCAUGUAAAAUAAUUAAAAAAAAGUGCUACACAAAAAAGGCUUGGCAAAUCAAAAAAUAGUAUCUCCAAAGGAGUCGAACCGGCUACCUCCAUCUCAAGACAUAGAGGUCUCACCAAUCGAGCUAUACUAGGCUAUUGCAAAGGAAACACACGCAGCGCUAUUUAAUAGGGGCAAAGUAGAAAAACUAACCUCUACUUAAUCACUUCUUGGUUACCACAAUCCUGUCCUAAACGUCAACUAAUUCAGGUAUGGAGGGAGUACAAUAUAAGGCCUUGUUUAGUUCACCCUGAAAACCAAAAAGUUUUCAAGAUUCUCCGUCACAUCGAAUCUUGGAGCACAUGCAUAAAGCAUUAAAUAUAGACGAAAACAAAAACUAAUUACACAGUUUAGCUGUAAAUCACGAGACGAAUCUUUUGAUCCUAGUUAGUUCAUGAUUGGAUAAUAUUUGUCACAAACAAACGAAAGUGCUACAGUACCGAAAAAUUUUCACUUUUCAGAACUAAACAAGGCCUAAAACUCAUGACACUAGGGUCUUGUUCCUGAAAACCAAAAAAAUUUCAAGAUUUCCCAUCACAUCGAAUCUUAUGGCACAUGCAUGAAACAUUAAAUAUAGACAAAAAUAAAAACUAAUUACACAGUUUAGCUGAAAAUCACGAGACGAAUCUUUUGAUCCUAGUUAGUUCAUGAUUGGAUAAUAUAUGUCACAAACAAACGAAAGUGCUACAGUACCGAAAAAUUUUCACUUUUUGGAACUAAACAAGGCCUACCAGCUCCACGUGGCGUGACUUGCGCAAAAAAUGAAGAUGUUGCAACAUUCAGGUAUUUUGAGGCAAUUUCAUACUUAAAUUAUCAGUCACAACAAAUCAACUUAGAAAUUUAAAAAAAAUAAGUGUAACUAGAAAUUCAGAUGUGAAGCUAGAGUACAUGGGGUGUUUAGAUACCUCUUACUAAAGUUUAGUCCCCUGUCGUAUGGGAUGUUUAACAAUAAUUUAAAAUAUAAAAUAUAGACUAGUUAUAAAACCAACUCCAUAAAUCAAGACUAAUUUUGCGAGACAAUAAAUCUAUUAAACUUAAUUAUUUCAUAAUUUGAUAACGUAGUGCUACAGUAUAUUCAGCAAACCUUAAUUAGCUCUUGAAUUAACUAAUGUCAUUUAACAUAAUAUAAUAUACACUAAUUAUGCAAUCACGUUGCUAGGUGGGAGCCACCUUUAUAUCCAGCAAGCCAAGCCCGUAGAAAACAAAAAUAAAACUCGUUUUCGAGGAGCCAAACUGAGGAAGCUUUUUGCAUCCCGUAGAACAGGCUCUACGGCCUUAUCUAGAUCAAAAAGCUUUUGGAUUUAAACACUAUAACACAUUCUUUUGUAUUUGAUAAUUAUUAUUUAACUAUAAACUAAUUAAAUUUAAAAGAUUUAUCUCGUAAAUAACAGAUAAACUAUAUAAUUAAUAUUUUUUUAUUUAUAUUUAAUGUUUUAUAUAUGUAUCUAUAAUGAGAAAUAUUAAAAUGUUUUUAGAUUUUAAAUAAAACUAAACAAGACCUACGUAUGCAUACUGUCACACUGACGCACACGCACUCAGCCCCGCCUCAGGAAUGAAAGGCCACGUGUCGAUGUGUUUGAAAAAUCUAUUACCAUAUAAGGCCUCGUUUAGUUCGAAAAAAUUUGAGAAAUCGACACCGUAGCACUUUCAAUCAUGGAGUAACUAAACUUAAAAGAUUUAUCUCGUGAUUUACAGGUAACUGUGCAAUUAGUUUUUAUUUUUAUCUACAUUUAGAGCUCUAUGCAUGUGCCACAAAAUUCGAUGUGACGGGAAAUUUUGAAAAGUUUUUGGUUUUUGGGGUGAACUAAACAAGGCCUUAGUCAAUAUGGACUCAUAGGCCUUGUUUAGAUCCAAAAACUUUUUGGAUUUUGAUACUGUAGCACUUUUGUUUUUAUUUGACAAAUAUUGUCCAAUCAUGGAGUAACUAGGCUUAAAAGAUUCGUAUCGUGAUUUACAUGUAAACUGUGCAAUUAAUUAUCUUUUUUAUCUAUAUAUAAUGUUUUAUACAAGUGCCGCAAGAUUCGAUGUGAUGGGAAAUCUUGUAAAGUUUUGGAUUUUUAGGUGCAUCUAGCCUAAGUCCUUUCUGCGUGGUGCUCGUAUUUGGCCACCGUGACUAAGUAGAUACAAUGUUUAGUUUUGUCCUAUGAAAAUAUGUCGCAUGAGACAAAAUGUGUAAGGCAAAAAUUGCUAUCAUAUUUAUUGUAUAUAAAUAUGUUUUACUAGUCUUAGUUUUUCUUAUUAAAUCUUAAUUACCUCUUAAAUGCACAAUGUCAUUUAAUAUAUACAAUAUAUACUAAUUAUGCAACAAUGUUGUUAGCUGGGAGCGACCUCAUGUCCAGCAAGCCAGGCCCGCAAAAAACAAAAAUAAAACUCGUUUUCGACGAGCCAAGCUAAGGAAAGCUUUUUCAUCCCAGCUGAGCAUUCUUAUUUUUGCAAAAAAAGUUUUUAAAAAAACUAUCCAAUUGCAUUUUAGUUAACUUGACAUAUUCCUAGCCAGAUUUGGCAUAUAUGUCAACCGUGUAUUGCGCUUGCCAUUAUAUAGCCCCGCGCUGCCACCGCCGUUUUCUUCUCGCGAAAAGUUGAAGGCUACGAUCUUUCAGUUCUAGACAUCGCUGGACAAUGCCGGCUUGAUGGAGUCGUCGGCGACAUGGAUUCCGUCUAGGACGAUAACAUAUUGAUGAUGCUAUAGAGUAUAGCAACCCCCGGCGGCGAUUUAGCCCGACCUAGCUGAAGUCGUCUCUGUCGCCCUAAUCUUCCAGUAUGCUAGCUACAUUCCAAGAAGCCCUUGCGGCUGCAAGCUGCAAGCAGUCUCUGUCACUUUGAUCCAUUCUCUUCCUUCAAGUGCACACACGACCGGGAAUGGAAGGCGGCGGCAUUAGGAAUAGCGCGCGAAGAAAUAUGCGCGACCGAGUCGACAGCGUGAAGAAAAAUUUCGCCUGAAAAAAUAACCGAUGGGUUCAUACUUUGGGUUUUGCCAACUCAAUUUUGCCAAACCAUUAGAGAUAACUUUUUUUUCUUCUUUCCAUAUUGAUUUAAGACUUGGCAAACUCUAUGUUUUGCCAAAGAUAAAAUACAAAACCGUUGGAAAUGCUCAUGCUCAUGUCUUUACCCAAACAAGUGAAAACUGAAUUCCGUCAGCCUCAGUCAAAUGAGCCCCUCACUGGAGUUCAAGCGAACAGGGCCAUAGACAGACUCGUCACGGUCCUUAAUAAAUCUAUCUUUUGAGCCUAGUUAAUCUAUAAUUAAAUAAUAAUUAUUAAAUACAAAUAAAAUGUUAUAUUAGCUAAAACUAAAAUUUUCACCAACUAAACAGCCCCUACGUAUGCAUACUGACACACAACACACACACCCCCCCAACCCCCAAUCUCAUGGAUGGAAGGUUUACGUGUCGAUGAGUAUAUGAGUGGCAUGAACAAAAAAUAAUCAGUUCCAUAUCUUAGAGCCUAGUCAAGAUACGCAGUCAAAAGUCAAAAUACAUGCAAGAUAAUAUGAUAUCAUAAUAAUAAUAUUAUAUGCUUCCACCCUAAUUAUUCCAAUAUAUAUAUAUAUAUAUAUAUAUAUAUAUAUAUAUAUAUAUAUAUAUAUAUAUAUAUAUAUAUAUAUGCUAACUAAAAAAAAUGUUUAAGAUAGUAGUAGAUUACAAAUUCUGCUAGAGCCUACAGCUAAAGGCGACAGCGGUCAGAGUCAAGAGAGAUGCAGCUCACCAGUCACCACUCACCACACAGCACGCAGCCGCGACAAUGGAGGAUUCCGGCGCCUGCUGGCCCCUACUGCUCCUACCACUUGCAGCCUCACUCCUCUUCUUGCUCUACUGCCGCAUCCAUGGCGGCCGCAAGAACUCAGCGCCCGGCAGUGAGGGCAACAACGGCCGGCUCCCUCCCGGCCCGCCGACGCUGCUCUUCCUGGCCAAGUUCCUGUCCCUCCGGCGCUCCGUCUUUGACCUGGGCCCGCUCCUCCGGGAGCUGCACGCGCGGCACGGCCCCGUCAUCUCGCUCCGCCUCCUCUUCGCCACGCACGUCUUCGUCGCCGACCGCCGCCUGGCGCACCGCGCGCUCGUCCACGGAGGCGCCACCUUCGCCGACCGCCCGCCGGUCGUCGAGCCGGAGGGCCUGUUCAGCGCCGGCGGCCGCGACAUCAACACCUCCCCGUAUGGCCCGUACUGGCGCCUCGUCCGCCGCAACCUCGCCACGGAGGCGCUGCAUCGUGGCCGCGUCGGCCUCUUCGAGCCGGCCAGGAGGUCGGCGUGCGACGCCCUCGUCACCAGCCUCAGCGCCAGCGCCGCCGCCGACGAGACGGCCACGCUGAGGCCGUUCCUGCGGCGCGCCAUGUUCCAGCUGCUGGCGCACAUGUGCUUCGGCGCGCAGCUAGGCCGGGAGGUGCUCGACGAGAUCGAGGAGCUGCAGCACCGCAUGAUCCUGUCCUACACCACCUUUCCUAUCUUCGCCGUCUUCCCGGCGGUCACCAAGAGGCUGUUCCGCAAGCGGUGGGCGGCGUACGUCGCUCUGGCGCGGAGGAUGGACGAGGUGUUCGUUCCGCUGAUCCACGCCACGCGUGGCGGCGGCGGCGACGACCCGCCAUGCUACGCGGACUCGCUCCGCACGCUGCGCGUGGCCGAGGAGGGCGACCGGCCGCUCACGGACGCCGAGAUGACGAGCCUGUGCACCGAGUUCCUGACCGGCGGCACGGACACGACGGUGACGGUGGUGGAGUGGAUCAUGGCGGAGCUGGUGAACCACCCCGACGUCCAGGCCAAGGUGCACGACGAGGUGAAGAACGCACCGGACGGCGACCUCCAGCUCCAGGCGAUGCCGAUGCCGUACCUCAAGGCCGUCGUGCUGGAGGGCCUGCGGCUGCACCCGCCGGGCCACUUCGUCCUGCCGCACGGCGUGCGAGGCGACGCGGAGAUCGGCGGCUACACUGUGCCUAAAGGCGCGCAGGUGAACUUCCUGGUGGCGGAGAUGGGCCGCGACGAGACGGUGUGGACGGCGGCGCGCGAGUUCCGGCCGGAGAGGUUCGUGGACGGCGGCGAGGGGUGCGACGUCGACAUCACGGGGACCAAGGAGAUCAAGAUGAUGCCUUUCGGCGUCGGGCGGCGCAUGUGCCCCGGGUACGCGCUGGGCAUGCACCACGCCGAGUACUUCGUGGCGAGGUUGGUGCGGGACCUGGAGUGGCUGCCGCCGGCGGAUGGCGAGGUCGUCGACAUGGCGGAGCUGAUGGAGUUCACCACCGUCAUGAAACACCCGCUCCGAGCUCGCGUCGUGCCAAGGAACUGAUCGAACACUUGAAGGUCACAACUGGAGGAACCAAUUAGACUCUGCUUUGUCAGACUUGUGUGCUUUUCCCUCCUCUAGCUUGAGUUUAUCUGUUGAAUAUGUCAGCCCUUCAACAGUGCUCGAACAGUACUUCAGUCAUAAAUUAUCAACCAAGCGAACAUGCUCUGUGUGGCAGGUUGAUAUGUUACAUCUCUUCUUUAAAAUGGUAUUUUGUAUACUUUUUAUCAUUCCUUUAUUGGUGAUUUUGUUUUUAGUGUGAAAAAUAUUGCUAUUGCUUCAGUCUUUAUGUACUCUGCUUCCUGAAAAAUUGGAUUAUCAGCAUGUUUCUGUUCUGUUACUGGUUGCAAGGUAUUUUCCGAAACCAGAUGUCUAUGUAGGAAAGGGGGAAAAUACUGUGUGUAUCGUUCUUUAGGAUGAUGUCCUAACAUACUAGUAUUGUACUGCGAUGGGGUUUAGAAGAUUACAAAUUAGAUUUCCCAUCCAAUCCACAAAUAUACUAGGGGGGGAAAAACAUAACACUGGAUCCAUGGUCAUAUAAGUAAGCACAAAUCAAUUGGGCAACUUUCACAUGAAUUUUUUCCAGAUCUUGUGACAGUUGAUCAACUUCUCGAGGCAUCCGUGCAAAAUUUUGACACUCUAAAAAACACCCUCAUGCUUCAUACUUACAGUACGGUGCAUAGGUAGAAUUUUAUACUGUAUAACGUCAAAAAUGAAGUUAGCUUUAGCAAAUGGUACAUGCUAACAUGCAUCAUUUCUCAUCUCGCUUAAAUCGUCACAAAAACUUCUAGGAUGGAGGGAUGAAGGGAAUAAUCAGUAUUACAUCACCUAUGCAUAGGAGUAAUGCAGUCACCUUGGCAAGCAUAAAGCAAUUGUAGCAAUAGCCUCCAGUAUUACUAAGGAAGACAGCAGCUACCUGUAACAACCUCCCGUAUUACGGGUGUGCCAAACAAAAUUAUACAAGACACAAAAGAUCUUUGAGCUGUAAUGUUCCGUGCUUUCAUAGCUUCAUCAGAUCAAUGUUGCCUCUAAACCAUAUCACGAACUGCAAAUUGCAGCUACUAUCUUGUGGCCUAUACGAUCACUAGUUACGAUCACCAAAUUCCUUGCAGUUAUUCCAUUAUCAAUCUCAAAUCUAGUGCUUUGGAAAACUAUCUGUCACACCAUUUCUGCUUACCUAGCCAACCUAAAGCAUGGUGUUCCGGAAAGCUGAAACUAGUCUUGGUGAUAACAGCAGGACAAAUGCCAAGAUCGAGCCAAAGAACAUCUUGGUCAGGUAAUGCAUCAGGUCCAUGCUGGAAUCAGUGUCUCCAGGCUUUCUGGUUGCUAGUGCUGAAGCAGAGGGCAGGGCUUCGACUACAGCAUCUGCAAGGUCGGAGAUGAAUGUUGAAGUACAUCCAAGAGCAGGAACCCGACCCCAGUUCUUAAUGCCUGAUUCUAGAGCCAACUCCUUGUACUCCAUGUCGAUUUCUUCCAAUGUCUCAAUGUGCUCGCUCACAAAGCUGUAUUUGUCAUAAAUGGCUCAGAUUACAGGCAAUAAAGGGUGGUAUGAAAACAUCAGUAAUCACAGCAACAUACUCUUGACUAGUAAAAGAGUAAAGCAGAUACUAGCAUAACGUAAAACCCCAUUAAGACAUUCAUGGAUUGUAAAAACUAAGAUCUCAGAUUGUGUAGUUGUGUUCUAUGAACCAGUUUUAUCAUGCAAAAGAUCCAUUUAAGGAACGCAUCUAAUUCUAAAAUUAUUUGAAAUAAGAUCUUCAUUCAUUAAUACAAUUAUACAAGGGAACAUGCAAGCUUUUGCAAACAGAUAAUAUGCACAUAUAUGUUAUAACAUUAAAUUCAUAUUUCAUAAGGCUUUCAGACGUUCAAGAUUGCACCAGAGGUACGAAUGUCAUAAAUACAAACAAAAAUGACGAGCCAACAUGCAUCAUGAAAAUGCAUGCGAUAAACUAGACCCAAGGAAAAAAAGAUCAUAUAGAAGCUACAUGUUCCUUACCUCAUUUGUACCCCCAAAAAAGGAGAAUUACGAGAUGGCCAGAAAUGCUAAACUUGAUUACCUUACUGGAACAGCCAGGAGGCUCUUCACACCCUUUUGACCAAGUUCUACUAAAACUUCAUCAGUAUAUGGCUUCAGCCAUUGAACUGGCCCCACCCGACUCUGCAUGUACAAUAAAUGUUAACACUAGUAAAUGGUGACUAGAAGGAACUGGUAACUUGGAACUCUAUAAACUUGACAUUUUCCAUUUCUAGUUUUCUCACAAGGUGAUCGAACAUAUUUGAUCAUUCAAACAUAAGUGCACAACUCAGAGGUUAGUCAAACAAGUACCAAUUAAAUUUUAAUAGCUUAUACCUGGUAUGCCAAAGUGUAACUAUUUAAGAUUCCUCUUGAUCUCAACUCCCCCAUGAUCAAAGCAAUACAAUCCUCCAUCUGAUCUCUGUAAGGAUCUCCAGCAUCCUCAACAUAGGUAAGUGGCACACCAUGUGCACUGAAGAAUAUCAUAACCUGCCAUUCAUUUUCACAACAAUAAAAAGUAUUGUCAGAAUGAAAUUAAAGCAGAAUGUUUUCAUGAUUAUCUAUAAACUAACUGCAAUUCUGAAAGUGUCAUGGAGUUUUUUUUUUGUUAUUGUCUUAUAGAACUAAACAUUUGCAUUUAGCUACUAUCAACACAUUUGUAUAUAAUGUCAAGUUUAUCUAGAGAAAGAUACCUACAACAAUGCCAAAUAAUAGUUCAAAGAAAAUUUCUCUUUGAAAAGUUUAUCUAGUGAAUGGCUGUAAUGAAAUUUGGAAUGUGUAGAUGAAACAAGUAAUCCUCUGCUAUCACAUGCUAACUGUAGAAUAAAGAUGGAGGUAGAAUUAGGAAUAGGGCACCUCUUCAGGAUUGGAAAAGGCAGAUAGUUCUUUUUCAAUUAGGUCAGCCAUUGAUUUCACAUAGCCAUCUCGUUGGUACCAUGAUUCAAUAAUGGAAAUUGGCAAACCAGAAAAAUAUGAAUCUUCCCUGCAUGGAAACCAAUGCAUUAGCAUUUCAGGUUCUUGUAGCAUCAAAGACAAUAGGACCUCAUAUGCUAGAACUGGUGUCUUUGAUGGUGCCUCGCCAACCCAACUCAUGAGGUCUAGCAGGUCCCAAAGGGAUGUCUUUCAUUGCGUGAGGGAAUGAUUAGUGGUAAUGUUUUUGUUGGUUGUGGUAAUUUCUUGAGUUUAAGUGUGUACGUAAUGUUCAGUACCUAAGGGUGUGGUUUGUGUUGUUUGGUUUCUUUAUCCUCUCUUAUUAAGAUAAAUAUAUGCAGCUCUCUGUGUGUUAGAGAAAAAUAAAAGGGCCUCAUAUGGAGAAGGGAUCCUACUUGACAAUGUCUUGGAGAACACGAAUGCUUGACCCACUCGUUGAUAUGGAGUACUGAGGGUAAAGUGGAAGAACAACGAGCUUGGUAAUCUUAUCCUUCUUAAUCUAUCAUUAACCAAAAACAAGAAAUAGUUAAUCAUCAGACAAGAGUUGGGUGGACAAGAAGGAAUAAUCAUGAAAUCUGUUUGGUAUGAAACUCAUAUAAGAUAGGGUAAAAAUGUCAAAUAGAAUCAUGCAAACAUUGACUCCACAGAAGAAAAUUAUAUUCAGAAUAACUACAUUCCAGGUUACAUGUCAUUCUAGCUCCCAAAUCUCGAUAACAAACAUACUUCAGUCUAAAGUUUAAAGAUUACUUAAAUUUACUUUUCUGAUACAUCACCACUACACCAUCAUUACUAAAAGGUAAAUAAAUAAAUAAAUAAAUAAAUAACUUUCAACCAAAAUUGUAGUAGCCAGGUCAUUGACUUUGUCAAUUUUUCACAACAUCUUUUAUUCUCUUUUUGGAUUCAACCAAAGGAUCCGCCUAAACCAGUGCUGCUUGCAAAGAUGGAGUUAGCUAUCAUUUGCUUAUUCAUCGCUCAUACAUGGACAGGCUAACGCAUAUGCAGGCGGGGGUUAUUAGGGACAACUCUACAUACACCACUCAAUCAGGGUACUAUGGUCUUUUCAACACAUGACAAUGGUUUUCUGCUAGAUGCUAGAAUGGCAUGCAUUUGGAAACCGAUUGAAUGCUGAUGAGAUAUAAAAAGUGGGAAUGAGAAUUUACUUGAUCAAUGGCUUCUUCUGUGAAAGGGUACCAAUACCGCAUCCCAACAUAUAUAUUUGCGUUCAAGUUUUUCUUUUCCAGAGCAAUCUUCAAAGCAUUUGCCUGAAAUAUUAUUUUACUGAGAAUGUGAUUUACACUGAAAUGAUAUCAACAUGUCUUGGAAGAUUUAGAGAUUAACAAGUUUUGAACAAGCUGAUAAACCACAAUCAAUAAAACAGGUCAAAAGUAAAGAAAUGCAGCAAUAAUUUCAAAACACAGUCAGCCUUGUGAACUUAUACCUGUUCAUCAGUAAUUUUCCUUAACGGAGACCCACCACCGAUUGAAGCAUACCCUUCUUUACUCUUAGGAGCUCUAAAAGUAGAAAUAAGUUUAGCCAGUGGUCUUUGAAGAAACCUGAAGAGUCUAGGGAGUCGAAUGAUAUCCUGAUCAAUAAAAAGAAUUAUGAUAAUUUUCAAAAAUGAACUUACGAUGAAGAAAACAAAUUCAGUAGACUUACAAGGAAGAUAGAUACUGAAUUUAGAAAUUCAUAUAAUUAAUGACAGAUCUUAGUAAAUUAGCUAUUGCUAUGUUCAGUAGCACAGACACACAAAAGUUUUUUUGUUUAAGUUGCCACUUAUUCAAGAUUCAACUACCAGGGAAAAGAAUUGAAAUGGAAACUUCAAUUGGUAAAACACACAAAUAAGGUUCUUUUUUUCUUUAGGCUCUGCAAUUACUAUGCUGAAUAGUUCAGAAGCCUGUAUUAAGGAGUUGCAUAUAACCAUUCAAAGUUGUCAGAAUACACUCCAUAGAUUGGCUAGAUACAAUUAAUGAACAGGUCCACUGACAGGAAAAUUAUAAUGGUGGUGGUACAGUGGGGUAUAACAACUUACUGGAUCAGCAAAUAGGUUGAACAAAAAUGGUUGAACAUCGUCGAGGGUCUCUGGACCACCAAGAUUUAAUAACAGUACUCCAAUUUUUUCAUCACUAACACUGGAAGGUACAACUUCAUCAUCAUCAAAGGUGGUAACUGCAUUUGCAGAGGAAGAGCUAGCAGAAAGAUUCCACUGAUUUUUAAGUACUAGGCUUCUGUAAGCCAAACGAGAGGAUCCAUUUGCUGCUAAUUGCAACGGCUUAACAUUCCCAUGCAAGCUCAGCUCAUGUUUGGUAGAACCAGUAAAACUUGUAGAGGCUGUUUUGCCACAUGACCUGCCAAUAGUAGAACAACCAAUCAAAUAUAAAACCCAUGAUGUAUGCUUGGAUGCCAAUGCCAACAGAACAGAUGAUCCAAUUUGGAAGACAAAACACACACACACACACACACAAUUCAGUCUGUCCAUCCCCAGUGGCAAUAUCAUGUAAGCUCAGCUUGUAAGACAACACAUCUCUAGAAGACCAUACAAUUAGUAAUGUGAAGGAUGAAGUGUUUAAUAGCAUCAUGCCCUGAUUCACUAUGGGUUCAGAUCAAAAUGUCGACUAGCUAGCACCAAAUUUGAUUUAGAAAUAUAACUGAAAUGCUUACAUAUGUUCUCAAAUGCUUAUACGUAACCUAAAUGUCCAAUAGCAUCAUGCCCUGAUUUAGCAAUAUAACUCAAAAUGGACCUUUUAAACUCAUAGGUUUCAGUUUUCUGUGUAUUACGAAAUAACCAGCAAAUAACAGAUAUCAAUUUUUGGGGGUGGGUCCCAAAGCAUUGACCUUCUUCCAGAACAUACAAACCUGAAUAACAUGGUUUGUAAAUCCACGAUGGUAUGCCAUCUUGCCUGAAGAUUUAGAUACCAUCAACUCUUCUAGUAACAUAUCUUGAUUUGAGGAUCGAACAGAAAUUGAUCUUACUUCAAGUCACCAAGUAUAAUAAUUUCCGAAAUGAGGGUUGCUCUAGUGGGGAGACAACGGAUCACUAGUGAAAAAAGAAUAUUAUAAUGGAAAAAACAAAUGAUCGUCGUAAACAGUGCCAGAAUCCCGUGGCUUUAGUGCCCCAGCCAAGAGCAGUGGCAAAUUGAUUAAUUCUAGGAUUCCUUACAGCAUUUUGACAUCAACCAGGGGCGGACGGUACCCAACAAAGGACAUGGGUAUACACAUGUACACCCGUGCAUCCAAAAAAAAAAGGUCGAAGUUAGUACGCAUAACACAUGUAUACGCUUGUGAUUAGAUCAGAUCCGAAUACAAAUAGCCAAAUAGCUCAGGUUAGGGUUGGGGCGAUCAAUUUUGCGCAGCAAGGAACGGCAGAGAAGGGGCGGACGGGCAAGGGCAUACCCAGUGUGGGGAGUUCCCGUCGCCGGCAAAAGCGCCGACGAAGACAUGGGCAGCUGGGCGCAGGGCGUCGCCGGUCACCCUAGAUUUGUUGUCGGCUUCGCGCAGGCGCGGUGAACGGGAGAAGAGAAACGAUUUGCUCUAGCGUGAAGAGGAAGACCAGCAGAGCACCCCGCCGCGAAAGAAAAUGGUGGGUCAAAGUCAAACGCGGGGUCCACACCACAGGGACAGAAACAUGCAGCACGAAAUGACACGAAUCCACAACUGCCCCGCCGCCGUCGACGCAUUUGUGCUGAAACCUCAGGGACACACCGCAAAAUUGGAUUUAAUUUAAGAAGUUGUUUGUAAAAUAAAGAAAAGCAAAGGAUGAGUUGCCCACAAGUACACCGCACCUGUGGAAAAUAUAUAUCGAGAAAGAAAAAUGAAAAAACUACACCGUACAGGAGCAAUUUCUCAAAAGUGCACAUGUGGAUCACAAACUGAAGAAACUGUACUUACGUACUCCCUCCAUACCGUAAAACAAAUGCAAUUAUGGGAGGUUAAUGUAGUUUAAGUUUAAUCAAGUUUAUAGUGAAUAAUAUUUAUAUUUAUAUUUCUAAAUAAUUAAUUUAUGAAAGUAUAUCCUAUAACUUAUCUAACUGUACUUAUUUCAUAUCAUGAAUGUUUAGUAAUUUUUUAUAUAAACUUAGUCAAAGUUUAAACCGGUUGACUUCUCGAAAAGUAAGGAUUGUAUUUUUUUUAUGAAUGGAGGGAGUAGAAAUCAAUAUUUUGGAAAGACUUCUAGCUCUAGGAAUCAACCGUAGACAAACUGAGUUGAGUGCCCUAUGCUCUUUGAACUUUUUAAGGCCUUGUUUAGAUCGAAAAAGUUUUUGGAUUUUGGCACUGUAGCAUUUUCAUUUUUAUUUGAUAAACAUUGUCCAAUCAUGGAGUAACUAGGCUUAAAAGAUUCGUCUCGCGAUUUACAUAUAAACUGUGCAAUUAGUUAUUCUUUUUAUAUAUAUUUAAUGUUCCAUACAUAUGUCGCAAGAUUCGAUGUGAUAGGGAAUCUUGUAAAGUUUUAGGUUUUUAGGUGCAUCUAAACAAGGCCUAAGUUUACAGCUAAAAAGUUUUAGAAUGUAACAAUCUAAACAUGCCCACAAUAUAUAGCUACAACGAUCAGGGUUGUUUGGCUGUGAUCACGGCUGCUGCCGCAGCAGCUUUUUCAUUUCUUACUUGUUACUACAGCUGCACCUGAACAACCCUAGAGGUGGUGAUCGAAGAGAAUGGCAUGUGAUUCGGGUUUUUCCUCUCACAUCAGAUAGGAUUUGGUCAUUCUUGCAAAAAUAUUGGUAAAUACUAGGUUUCCUAUUAGGACUUGAGUAUUCUUUCUCUCUUUUUUUGCAACAAAUAAUAUUGAAGCUUCUCGGUUGUGUUGUCCAAUGACAGUUUAUUUAGGUUUCCUAUUAGGACUCAAGUUUUUUUUUUGCAACAAAAAAUAUUGAAGCUUCUCGAUUGUGUUGUCCAAUGACGCACCACUUGUCUCACCUAGCGCUCAAGUAAAUCGCAACUAAUUUUCAAAUAUAUGCUCUGUUCCAAAUUUCCACGGUAGGCUAUGUGGCAGCUUUUGUACUACGAUUUUUAUGGCGGCCUCGUCGGUAACCAAACAGAUGCCUCUGAUUGUUAUGGCGAGCCGCCACGGCUGUGGCGUGUCAACCUUUGGCAAUCAACCAAACACGCCCUCAAGUUGACAAGUGAAAUAUUUCUCACCAGAACCGUUUGUAAGUAUCAAGUGAAAAGUGAAAAUUUCUCACCAGACCCUCCAGUCAAAUAUUUCUCACCAAAACCGUUUGUAAUUCUCUAGUGAAAAGUGAAAUAUUUCUCACCAGACCGGUUUGUAAUUCUUUAGUGAAUCCGUUUGAAAUUCUUGAGUGAAACGUUUCACCUUGGCGUUUGCUAGCAAUUAUCAAACGCUCCUUAAGGACGCCAAUGUCCACUGCACAACUGCUCUAAAACAUUGGUUGAAGACAUGCCUGCCAAAACAUUUCUAACGAAAACACGAAAUUCCAUAGGCUUAGGAUAUUAGCACCCCAAAUAGAUGCAAAUAGCUCGCCCCGCACAAGAUGCAAAAAGCACACAACAUAGCCACCACACAGAUACAAUGCAAAUAGCGUCCACAUAAUAGUAGCGAAUUCACAGAUAUAAUAGUAACAGUAGCGAAUUGGACGCAUACAGCAACAUAGAUAUUGGAAAACUCCAAUCCAAUCUUCUCAGUUUUUCCAAAACAUUUCACGUCAUAAUCCGAAUCCAUUCUUCCAACAGUUUUUUUCCAAAACAGUUUUUCCAUAACCAUCCAUGACAUAAUCCAUACUAGAACAAAAAUAGGAUAGUAUUAUAUAGAUGAUAACCAUCGACAUGAGGUAAAGAUGAUAACAAGCAACAUGAGGUAAAGAGGGCAUGCCCGCCUAGCACUUAAUCUCCUUCAGACCAUGAGCAAAAUAGAGGAAUGUCGGGUCAGUGGCACCUUCCUUGUAGUAAGCGAACACUAGGCUUCCAUCAUCAUGCAUACUCUCACCAACAAAGCUAUUACACAGAAAAGUAUCACAUUAGACAAAGUUGUAUAAAAAUCAGGGUGAAAGCCAAAAAAAAUGUUCACAGAAUUAUGCAAAGCAACAUGAAUUUAAGACCACAGCAAAAUUAAGGUGCAGAUUUCAAUAAACCAUUACAUUGUGCAUGUAAAAUAGGUAUUGAAACAGCACAUAAACCAUUACAUUGUGCGUGUAAAAUAGGUAUUGAAACAGCACAUAAACCAUUACAUUGUGCGUGUAAAAUAGGUAUUGAAACAGCACACCACAGUAACAUAAAUAUAAAUAAAACUAUAACAGAUGCACGAAACAAUUAUGCAUGGCAAAUAAAUAAUCACAACGACAGACACAUUUGUCCAUGUGAACAUUCAAUGACCAAGACAAACAACAUAUGAAUUUAUUAACAAAAAGGAAAUGAACAAGACAACACAGUUUUUUCAUCUAAAUUGACUAGCAGAAAAGAUAGGAUGGUAGUUCACAUAGUAUUUUACUAACAUAAAUAAACCAACAAUAGAUGAAAUGUAUUUUCAACAGAUUAUGACAUGCAUUAUCUAUAGAUUUUUUAGUAUAUAACUUACAACUGAAGAUCUUUGAGCUUGCUAAGAAGGAACUUGGUGGCACCCUCAAUGCCCUUCUUGAAUUCAUCUGCCUUCUCUGGCUCCAGCUUGCCAGUGAGGUUCUUGAUGUAGCGCUUAAUGUUAGUCACAAAUGUUUUCUUGUCAAAUGUGGGUUGCUCCUGCAAACAGGAAUACACAGAUUAGUACAAAAAAAACUAUGCACAGAGUAGACUGAAGAAAAAACAACUCCUGCCACAUUUAGAGGGCAGCAACCUGGAGGCGGAAGGUGUCAACAAUGUCAACAACCCUUUCAGUCUGGUCAUCAACACCCUCAUCUUCACCACCCUCGGCAGAUGGAUUGGCACCAAUAUCCACAUCGACAGCUCCUUUGACGACCCACUGCAAGCAUCGAGCGCCAUGUAAAUAAAAAAAAAAAAAAAAACCAAACCAGCUCAACAACGUAAUGAACUAAGCAAAACAGAGUAUUAGAGCAGCACAUAUCAUGAGUCAUAUAUGUCUAUACUUUACUAAGACAGGUUCAUGUGCAAACUGAUAAUUGUCGGUGUUACCAAACAUACAGAAUACUCAAACUCAAGGCAGGUGCGCACAUGAAAAAUUAAGUGUUGGCAGCUGACUGCCAGUUACACAGUAAAGAAACACACAAAAAAAUCCUAACAGUAGCACACAUCAAUCUGAACCAGGAACAAACUACAUGACGUGCCACAUAAUUUGGUCAUGCAAGAAAAGCAGAAAAUAACACCAGGAAUAAACUAGAUGGUGUGCCACAUAAUUUGCUCCUACAAGAAAACCACAAAAUCACUAUAAAUUACAACUGAGGGCAGCACAAGCAGUACAUCCAGAUGCAUGGAGGACUCCCCCUAAACACACAGUACAUCAAGACUGAUGGAUGGCCGCCUACUCCCAUACUAAGCACACAGUACACAGGCUAGAAUACAUAAAUUCUCUAAUAAGCACACACGUUCGGUUCGGAUGAAGGAAUCAAAUACUAGAAUUCAUCAACCAAUUCUCUAACAAGUGCACGGCGUUUGGAUAAACGAAUCAUACCUUGCCCUCGACCUCCCAGAGGACGCCGUCAAAGAUCUCCUUAUACUGGAAGGAGUCGGAGAGGAGCUCGUCGCCUGCAAGACAUUAGACACAGCAACUCAAACUCAGCAGCAGACCCAAAAAUAAAAAAAGCCAAGGCAAAUAAACCGAUCUAGAUCGGCCACGACUAGACCCCGACGGCGAACGAGAUCCGCCACCCAGUUGCCAAUCGGGAGCCAGAGCCAAGCGAAACCAGACAAAGAGAGAGAAAAAAAAACAAAUCGGGUGAAAUUCACACGAACACUUACCAGAGAGCAGAUCCUGGUAGACCAACAUGGCGCCGGCGGCUCUCGGAACCCUAGCUCGCUCGCAAGUGGGUGGAGGAGAUGAGGCUCUCGGAGGCGCGGCAGCGUUGCGAGGGUUUGCGGGCGGAGGCGGCCGCGGCGCAUUUAUGGUCCCGGAGAAACAUCCGGGCCGCGGUGUCAGCCGUCCGAUCCGCGGCCCCGACGGCCCAGAUGCUCGAUCUGGCAUUCUGGCCGCUUUUUGGGAAAAGAGUCCCUUUCCUCCGGGGUAAUUCGGGAGGAGGAGUCCCUUUUUCCAUUUCCCGUGGGGACGGGUCGGGCGAGGCUGGGCCGUCUGAUCAGGGUAUCUGCGCCGGAUAUUCCCGCGUGGACGGCUGGGAUGUGCACGUGCGCCGCCGCCGUGGGGUCAGCGUUGGUGGCACGCAACCAUCGAUCGGGAUUUCUUUGGGAAAAGCCCCUGCCGGAACGGAAUCAGGCGUGCGCUGGCUGGCUGGCCUCCGCCGCGUCUCGUGCUGCUGCCGACCAGCCGAUGACCACGAGAAAAAAGGAUUUCUGUUUCGGCACCCAGCAAAAAUGGAUUGCUGUGCCAUAAGAAGGAUAGCUAUACUAAGGCCUUGUUUAGUUUGGGAAAAAUUUUGGAUUUCGCUACUGUAGCAUUUUUGUUUGUUUGUGGUAAAUAUUAUCUAAUCAUAGACUAACUAGGAUCAAAAGAUUCGUCUCGCGAUUUACAGGUAAACUGCGUAAUUAUUUUUUGUUUUCGUCUAUAUUUAAUGCUUCAUGCAUGUGCCGUAAGAUUCGAUGUGACGGGAAAUCUUGAAAAAUUUUGGGAACUAAACAAGGCCUAAGAGCAACUCCAAGAGAGUUUAUAAAAAUAGAUGGCUAAAUUUAAGAUUUAGCCAACUUCUAAAAUAAAAAAUUAUGAAAAAAACAAAAAUCUCCAACAGUCUUUCUAUACGGCAAAUCAUAUGGCUAGCGGGACAUGCAAGCUAUAUUUACCAUGCGAGAACUCCGGGAUAGAUGACUUGCUAUUUUAGCAAACCAAAUACAAUAGCUGUUGGACUCUCUUUUCUCUACCAAAAUAGCCAAAUAUAGAAUACAUAACAUGAAUAGUUCUUCUCUUGGAGUUGCUCUAAUUCGGUAUACUUAAAAUACACCUUUGGUACAAAAUUAACAAUCUCACAAGGAUGAAAUAUCAGUAACUUUCUAUUUAGGCCUUGUUUAGAUGCACCCAAAAACCCAAAACUUUGGCCUUGUUUAGUUUGCAAAAUCUUUUGUUUUUUUGCUACUGUAGCAUUUCGUUUUUAUUUGACAAACAUUGUCCAAUUACGGAGUAACUAGGCUCAAAAGAUUCAUCUCACAAAUUACAGGUAAACUGUGUAGUUAAUUUUUAUUUUCGCCUAUAUUUAAUACUUCAUGCAUGCGACCAAAGAUUCGAUGUGACGGGGAAUCUUGAAAAUUUUUGCGAACUAAACAAGGCCUUUAUAAGAUUCCCCAUCACAUCGAAUCUUGUGGCACAUGCAUGGAAUAUUAAAUAUAGAUAAAAAUAAAAACUAAUUACACAGUUUGUCUGUAAAUCGUGAGACGAAUCUUUUAACCCUAGUUACUCCAUGAUUGGACAAUGUUUGUCAAAUAAAAACGAAAGUGUUACAGUGUCAAAAUCCAAAAAGUUUUUGAAUCUAAACAAGCCCUUACUAGUGGAUCUCAUCUUUUAUGAAAUCAAUUUCUUUUUUGAAUAAAAAUUUUGGGAGCUCGGCAUGUCUGGAAGCACAGGAGAACGUUCUUUUGUUGAUAUUAUUACCAGUAUUCGAUACUGGGUUAUUCAUAGCAUUACUAUACCUUCCCUAUUCGCCCGUGCCGCAUCCCUGUCCAUUGCUUUGUUUGAGUGGUAAGUCAUGGCUGUCGGGUGAUUUAUUGUAAGAGAAAAACACCGUUGAAUGACUGGUAGAUUUGGCUGAUAAGCUCAAACGAACAAAGCUUAAACAUAAACCCCGUUCUAUGGAUCUCUUUAGAACACAAGAUUAUAGGAGUAAUAAUAUAAACAUAGGAGUAUGUCUUAUAACAUCUUGAGUCUUGUAAUAACUUGUGUCCUAACAUCUUGAUAAAUCAUGUAAUAACUUGAGAAAACACCGAGAACUUGCAAGAUUAAACAAGGAAAAACACAAUAUACUUUGAUAAGUGAGAGUACCACAAAAGAAUUUUUCAUGAGAUUUAACCUCCUUGUAAAUUUUCUCCAAAAUUCCUACGAAACAAGCUAGGCUAUCUUCUAAAUGGUUUGUUUUCAUUUUUCCUAUGGGAUAGGAUCUCAAUCCUCUAGAAUUUCACCAAUUUUUCAUUGUUUCAAAGGGGGCGAAAAGACAAAGGCUAAAGUCAUGUUUGUAUGGUCUGUAGUAGUAUUUUUAAAAAAUAAUCCAUAGAUACAGACAUUAUUGCAUAGAAGAUAAAAACAUGCAUCCUCAAUAACCCUUUGAGAAAAGCAUCUAGGAAUUUCUUUGCAACUAGAGUUGUCUUUAACUCUUGGGAUAGGAUCUUAGCAUUCAAAGAGUAAAGUUGUGGGUUGAUUUUUGUUGCUAAGCUUUGUAAGUACUCUGUCUAGAAGGACUAUACUAAAACGUAGGUUAAGGGGCGCACUCUCCUAGCACUUGAUCUCGCUCGGAUGUGAUGAGAAGAGAAGAAGAAGUUUGGAUUGUGGCACCAUCCUUAGUAGGCGAAGACCAGCCUUCCAUUAUGAUGCAUUCAAACAACUUAUCUUCCUUUUGUUGUUGUUUAUCCCAUCUUCCUUCUUUUUCCCAAUACUACCCUGUAAUUAUGUAAGAUAGCCUUUAAUUUAGAUCCGUUUUUCGAUAAAAAUAUAUAUAUUGUCCAGAUCUCUCACAAAAUUAUUUAGUUCCUUGUCGUCUUCUAUAUUUUUUUUUGGGAUUAGCUUGUACAUUCUACUAUCAAUUUGUAGCUCAACUUUUUUGCCCUAAAAUAUCAAUGAAUUCAUCACAAAUGCUACUAUUUGUCUAUUGGAGCCACUAGUGCCUCAACAAGCCUCUAGCAAAACAUUCACAUAUAUCAUCAUGCCAACACUUCUCGGCGCAUCAAGCCUUUCUAAAAAAAAAUUAUAGAACCAUCAUCGGUAACGUGCUCGCUACCACACUUUUGAUAACCAUAUGAUGCGAUCACAUUUAUUUUUACUUGUGAUCAAAGUUGAACGGUGUCUGUUGCUCUGUUGUGAGGCUCUCACGUAUCGAGAAAUCGAUGAACAAAUUACAUAUGAGAUAUAAAAAGCUAUUGUCUAACCCUCUCACAAAUUGUGCUAAAGCUUUUGUUGUAGAUCCCUAUAUAUAUUCAUGGUCUGGUUAAGAAGGCUCCAUUUUUCAGUGUAUAUGAUAUAGUUAAGACUAUCUCCAACAAUCAUCCCCAAAAUACAAGACCCAAUGGGUCUCGAGGAGAGAGGAUAUCUAAAUUUGGGUUAUGCCUCUCCUGAUACUUAAAAUGGGACUUUGUAUGGGUACUCUGUUGGAGGUUAUAGGUAUUGUGUUGGAGACCUAUUUUAUUUUAGGUUUGGAUUCCCAAAUAAGUGUCGUGGAGACAGUCUAAGAAGGUUUCACUUUUUAGUCGAGAGAUACCAACACAUAUCAAGUUGGUCUACUGCCUGGGGACUAUGCAUACACGAAGCCGUUGCUUCAUCGUGAUGGUGGAGCGUGACGCUUGAGUCAUGUCCACCGCCACGACGUCCGCCGUCGGCCACGAUUCCAGCUUCCGAAACCAUCCUCAGAAAACUCCAGCUCCCGAACCACCGUGCCGCUUAGUUGUUUAGUUUUGCUUGAGUGCUUCUCCAAUAGACUACUUAGCUUAUCCCAUCCAUAAUACCAAAAAUAUAAGAGAUUAUUAUUGAUAGAGGGGGUGAAUAUAUAUCCUAAUAUCUAAAAGUUUCAAGUAGUUUUGCUCAAAAUAUACUCCCAUCUCCCUUAAAUAUAAUGUUGGAGAUUCACCUCUUCUAUCAAUUUUAAAUGUGUUGAUAAUGUGUUGGAUAAGAAAGAGAAAAAGGCUAUAUACUAUUAAUAUAGAAGAUCACUUAUAUAAACUUAUUAUAGGAGAUUGAUGACAGGUAAUUUGUUGGAGACGCUCUAGCAUGCUCUUCCGUUCUGCCUGUGAAGAAAAAUUCUACAUAAAUAGUCGUUGUAAAUAUUAUUGGCCUUUUUCUUUUAUAACCCAUCUCAUGUUUAUUUUCUGACAAGAAGUCAAGAAAGACGUUGUGAGCUAGAUCUAUGUAUGGUGAUGAUGAUGCGAGCAUGCUUCCAUGGAGUGGUGCUUCACCAAUCAUCACGGCGGUGAACUCCAGCGCCUCCCCCCAAUAUGUCCAGUGCGGCGGCGGCGCCAUGCCAUCCACCUCCGAGGCUCCGACUACCACCCUCAAUGUCCAUGUGGAGCUAGCUAAUGCCUAGCGAUGAUGCGUGCACGGAGCGGCAGCUUCAUGACAGUGGUGAAGUCGAGCUCUUCCGCCAUGUCCACCGCCGCGCCGUCCACCGGCGGGCGCCACUCCAGGUCCCGCACCAUCCUCGCCACGAAGUACUCAGCAUGGUGGAUGCCGAGCGAGUAGCCGGGGCACAUGCGCCGCCCGGCGCCGAAAGGCAUCAUCUUGAUCUCCCGACUGCCAGUGAUGUCGACGUCGCAGCCCUCCCCGCCAUCCACGAACCGGUCUGGCCGGAACUCCCUUGCCGCUGUCCACACCGUCUCGUCGCGCCCGAUCUCCGCCACCAGGAAGUUCACCUCCGCGCCCCUGGGCACCUUGUAGCCGCCGACGUCCGCGCCGUCGUCGCCCCGCACGCCGUGCGGGAGCACGAAGUGGCCCGGCGGGUGCAGGCGCAGGCCCUCCAGCACCACGGCCUUAAGGUACGGCGCCAUCGCCUGGACCUGGACGUCGUCGCCAUUAGACGACCUCACCACCUCGUCGUGCACCUUGGCCUGCACAUCCGGGUGGUUCACUAGCUCAGCCAUAAUCCAUUCCACCAGCGUCACCGUCGUGUCCGUGCCGCCGUUGAGGAACUCGGAGCAGAGGCUGACCAUCUCAGCGUCCGUGAGCGGACGGUCACCGGCCUCCUCGGGCACUCGCAGCGCGCGGAGCGAGUCCGCGUAGCACGGCGGGUCAUCGUUCCCACGCGUGGCGUGGAUGAGAGGGACGAACACCUCGUCCUGCCUCCGCCGCACUGCGACGUAGGCCUCCCACCGGCUGCGGAAGAUCCGCUUGGUCACCGCGGGGAAGAAGGCGAAGACGGGGAAGGCAGUGAGCGAGAGGAGCGCCUGGUGCUGCAGCCCCUCGAUCUCGUCGAGCGCCUCCUGGCCCAGCCGCGCGCCGAAGCACAUGUAGACGAGCAGCUCGAACAUGGCACGGCGGAGGAACGGCCGCAACGUGACGGCGCGGCCGGCGUCGUCGUCUCCACCGGCAGCGCCAGCGUCGCAUAGCCUGUCGACGAGGCCGUCGCACGCCCACCGCCUGGCCGGAGCGAAGAGGGCGACACGGGCGGGCUGCAGCGCCUCGGCCGCGAGGUUGCGGCGCACGAGGCGCCAGUAGGCGCCGUAGGGUGAGGAGCUGACGUCGUGUCCGCCGGUGGUGAAGAGGCUGUUCGGGUCGACGGGCGGCGGGCGGUCCGCGAAGGUGGCGCCGCCCUGCACGAGGACCCGGUGCGCGAGGUGGCGGUCGGCGACGAAGACGAGGGUGCGGAAGAGGCGGAGCGAGAUGACGGGGCCGUAGCGCGCGUGCAGGUCGCGGAGCAGCGGAGCCAAGUCGAAGAUGGAGCGCCGCAGCGCCAGGAACUUGACGAGGAAGAGCAGCGCCGGUGGACCCGGCGGGAGGCGGCCGGCGUCGGCCUUGCGGUUCUUGCGGCCGCGGACGAGGAGGACCAACCAGAGGGAGACUAGGGCGAUGGUGACAGUAGUAGCGCAGAGGAGGAACAGAGGCGUCGUCGUGGAGGUGGAGUCCUUCUCCAUUGCUGGCGGCCUGGCAGAUCAGGGAAGCGACUGCUGUGGCUGCCGGUGGCCGAUGCCUCCGGCUCCGGUCAGGGAUUUGAUUUCUCGGCGCGACGUUAUCGGCGGCGCUUGGAAACGCAUGGCGACCUUUAAAAUUGCUGCUGCUCCGUUUUCGGGAGAGAAAUAUCUCGAUCGUACACUUGCCAGCAUCGCUGUCGGUCUUGUUUAGUGGUAAUUUUUUUUAUUUUAACACGAUAGUAUUUUCGUUUAUAUUUGAUAAUUAUUGUUCAAUCAUAAACUAUUUAGGUUUAAAUGAUUUGUCUCAUAAAUUAAAAUAAACUAUAUAGUUAGUUAUAUUUUUUGUUUAUAUUUAAUGUUUCAUACAUUUAUUUAAAAUUUUGAUGUGAUAUAAAUUUUUAAAAAAUUAGGAACUAAAACGAGACUAAAGAAGAAGCGUGCAUGGUGGAGCUCCAUCGGGAGAGGUGGUGCAACAUCAUAUCGUGUGUGGAUGGAGCGCACACGAGUUAUCUCGACGGUCGACGCACAAGAGUUUCCUCCAGAAUUUAUAGGAAACCGACGAACGCGGGAUGGAAUCUGUGCCUUGAGAAAAGAAAAAAAAAACUAGAUACUCCGUAUAAUUAAUCAGGGCUGGAGAGGCCAACUAUCCAGUUGCAGGACUGCCUUCGAUCACAGUUCAGGCCAAGUCAUCCACGAUGACUAAAGAGCACCUACCAGCAAAGAAACAGUGUAAAUUCUUGAUUUGAUUAUAGAAUCAAAGUAACCAAGUUUAACUGAGUUUUUAAACCUAGUAUCGACAUUUAAGACUCCAAUCAGGGAUAUUCUAUAAAAAAAAAUAUUUAUUAUUUUACGACAGAUACAGCGAUACAUAUUUAGUAUGAUACAAAAACUUAAGAUAGCUUGACCGAGCUACUCUACAAUUGUCUUUUUAAGGGUGCAGAGAGUACAUUGUUAUUAUAUCUCUAUAUAAACAGUACAAAAACCAUUCCCUACAAGCUGCCACAACAGUUUCCUACACACCAAAAAUACAUAAAAGAUCAUAUGGCAACUGGCUCUACACAUGCCACUGCACGUCGUAAAAUAUACAACCUCAAUCUAUCUUUUAAACGGCUGCCCUGUUUGGAUCCCAUAGUCUGAAAUUUAUCCAUUAAACUUUAGAUCACUUUAUUAGGACAAAGAGUCUAAAGUAUUAUCUAAGGUUUAGAUAACCUCUCAAAAAUAUUUUAGACCAUAAAAGCUAGCUAAAAUGGCCUAAAGUUUGAGUCUUCAAUUUUAACCGACUAAACUUUAGACUAGAAUCCAAACAGGCCCUAACCUCGGUAGAUUAUUAGGAUAUGUAGUGUGUGUGUGUUUUCCAUUGGAUUUUGGUUUUAUACCCUCGAUACUCAGGAUAGUUAAUCCUGAGCUCAUCUUCCAGGUUUAGAAGAAAAACAUUCUAGUAAAAUGAGGAAACUGUUCCAUUCUUAUUUCGAUGAGAAAAAAAUUGCAGCACUUAAAAAGUUACAAUCAAAUGAAAAAAAUGUUCAUAUGGUGAGAAUGUGUCCCAUUUGAAUAAAAAUGUCUUUGGCUAGAAGAUGAAAACAUGAGUUCCGUACAAGCAUAAGAGAAAAGAAAAAAAAAUGUUCCAUCCCAAAAUUUAGCCAUUGUUUGUAUUAUGCCCCAUCCACAAGACAAAUUGUUCCAUCCCAAAACUCAGGACUUCAUAUCUUUAUUAUCAGAAAAUGGUACACAAUGGAAAUAAUGUUUUUAAUUUAAUUAUAGUAAAAAGUAUAUAUGUGCAUGUGACAAGCAAAGUAUUAUGGGAAACUAAUAAAAAACCAACGUAUAUUUCAAAGCAGGGAGAGAUAAAUUAAUUAAGAAAAAAAGAAGAAAAAAAUAUAAAAGAAGGGAAACCAAAUUGAAAAUGUAAUCCUCCAUGGAAAGAAAGAAAACAAACAAAUAAAAAUUAAAAUAAAACAAAGAGAGAAACAAUGGAUUUAAAUAAAUGAAAAUAUUAAAUAUCAAAUACCUGGACUCUAAAGUCUAAACUCGGAAUUCACGUGGCACUUGGGCCGUAGCGGCAUCUGCAGAGACAAAGCAAGUGGGCCUUCGAAUUUGACUACUACGGUCUACGGGCCAAGAGAGCAGGUUGGGCUUUGGUACAGACCGUACAAGCUAGGUAACACUGCACCAGGACCAGGUGCAGACGGCGACUCCUUCCAAAGAUGGUGACACGAGGCGACACCAAAGGAAAUCAGUGUGUGUGUUGGAGUGACGACACCGUCCAUGUCCAUUCAUGCAAAAAUACUAACCCCAGCCGUGGAAUCAGCAUCUAAUCAGACCAUUUUUUCUAUCUAACAAUGAAACGACGCACUGGACGUUCGAGGGGAAAAAAGAGAAUUUGUUAGCACAGUAGAUAAAACAUAUCUAGGAUACCAAAAAGAAAUUGAUUUUAUUUUUUGAAGGGCAGUGCUUCCAACCAGCAGAGAUUAAAGCUCUGGUUUUUGUGCAAGUGCAACAGGAGACUGACUUCACACGCUUUGGUUCUUGGUAUUAGCUAAGCACAUCAAUGCACCGCCCUGGAAUCAAAUGCACCUCAUGAUCACAGGAAUUAUUAUUAUCUAUCUACUGCAUAUGAGACAGCAUGGUACAUGUGAUGGAAAGUUGAGUGACAGACAGGCUUCAAGCGCUCUUGCAUUGACAAUGAUGGAAAGAACAUUCAACAACUUGAAGAGCAUUCCUCGACGGUCUUGGUGCUUGAAAGUAUCAUUGUCACUGCUAAGCUGGCUGUUCGUCUUUUUAGCAGAAUUGCAUCUGUAUGCUUGUCAGCUAGCCUGCAAAAUACAAGGCUUGACACAUUUGAAUAAAAAUGUUUUAGAAGAAAUGACAUAUAUGAAUAUAGAAGGAAGCUUUAGAUAAGCUUUGUGAUAAAGAGAAGGUCAACUGAUCCAAAAGGAGAGAUGAAAAGCACCCAUAGUAAACUGUAAACCUAAGCCACUCAGUCACUCAAGAGGUGAAAACAGACGCUCCCUCCCUCCUGUGUACAGGCUGUCCCUCACUGCACUGGUUUGAAUGGCGCCCUCAAAGAAUCGGAAAAAAUCCCAAUUCCUUUGUGUCAAAUCAGAUUCCAUUGCAUCUAAUUUGACAUUUGGCCUCAAUUUUUUCAUUGUAUAUAUCAUAUGGACAGCAAUAGAAUUGGGAGAUUCUAUUCCCUGCUAGCUAGCAAGUAGCAGCAGCAGCUAGCAGCCUAGCACAGCAUCCAUCCAGUUCCUCCUUCCUUUUGAAAAAGAGCAGGAAAGAAUCAUCGUUUCUUUACUGGUAGUAGAAUAGAAUUCAGGUAGCAGGCUGUAAAGCACAGUUUCUUUCAGGAUUGCUGGAUGAUUAGUCAUACAAUAGCUAUUAGGGCCAGUAUGUAUUGUACUGCUGUUGUUAUUUACAAUAUCCGGCCAGCACCGGCAGGUAGUGACAAGUGAGUUGAAUUAGUCUGCAGAUAGAGAGGAGAUGAGUGGUGACAAAGUGACGAGGCCUCCUUCGUCUCACUCACAGCUAUGACCAGCUCAGCCUAUGCUGCCCCCUUGAUGGCCUGCACAUCUCUCUUCAGGUUCAGAGUCUGCCCUGCCUAUGGAAAUCUUGGUCAGUGCAGUGUUAGGUGCAGGCCGAUCCUCAACCUCCAACCCUUGAUUCGAUAUCAUUUGCACUUGCAGCACCAACUACUGCCUCUUUGUUUGCAGACGAAAAGCAACAGGAUAUAUAGUAGCUUCGACCUUGUGCAAAAAAAGCUCUAAUUCAUAUUCAGUAGUUGCCCCUCUGAAUUAAUGAAUGUCUGAAUUGGUUGUAAAGAUGAAAAGCAACAGGAUAUAUAGGAGUAGCUAUAGUAAAAGAAAAACGACCUCAUAUUCAGUAGUUGCCACCCUCUGAAUAAAUGACGAAUGAAUGAGUGAAUUGCUGAAUUGGAUGUAAAGAUUCAGUCAGCAAAGCACACGGCCGGCCGGUGCGGAGGCGAGGUCAACCGCAACUUGCAGCUGGUCCAGUUGUGGAUUGCUUUACAGUUAGUUGUUGGGGAGAUGAGAAUCAUCAUCAUCAGAAGAAAGUAGCCAAGAUUCAAUCGACGAGGAAACACAAGAGUUCACAAAUGCUAUGCUAGCUCAAACUCAUUGCUCAUACAACAAUCUCUUCUGCUAUGCUCUUCAGCAUUCACAAGAAUUAAAUUAAUACACACACAAACUAACCCAACAAAGAUGUUAGUUUUUUACAUACAGGCUCUUCAUCCUACAGGACAUGAGAAACAAGAGAGGCGUUUUUACUGGCAGGGCAGCAGUACAAAUCAAAGAAUGGUACAGUACAGGGCAAUGGGGAAAGAACAAUUUGUGAUCCCCAAAGCAAGCAAGCAAGCAAGCAAUUCAUCGACGAUCGCCGCCCGCGUCAGAAGGAGUGCUGGUGCUGCGGCGGCACGCCUGACGCAGAGGAGGCGGUGGCGGUGCCGGCGCGCGCGCUGAGGUCCAUACAGCGGACGACCUCCGCGCGGCAAGCGACGACACGGUGGAACACCGCGCGCACCUGCCGCUCCAGCGGCGCGAGGCCGUCCUCGAGCGCCCGGCACGCCGCGGCCAGCUCCUCGGCGCGCUCCGUCACGUCCCGCGCGCGGUCCUCGCUCACGAUCCCCUGCCGCCGCCGUUCCUCGUCCUCCUCCCCUUCUACUUCCUCGGUGAUCUCCUCGAGCACGCUGUUGAGCUCGCGCGCGGCGCGCUCCAGAGUCUGCAUCUCCGCGAGCAGCCCCGCCGUGGGCGCGGAGCCGGAGCAAGACCCUUUCUUUUCCUUGCGCCUCCACUCCUCCGCGAUCCGGUCCUGCAGCGCGGACAUGGGCGCCGCCCACUGCGCCUGCUUGGGCGGCGCGACGGGCGGGUUGCUGGCCGCGGACGCCCGGUCCUGGCACGGCACCGCGCCGACCAGCGCCCACAUGGCGAAGACGAGGACGGAGCUCAUGGUGUAGAGCGCGAGUCCGAGCCCGCACCCCGCCCCGGCGGCGGCGGCGGCGGCCGACGACUGCGGCGGCGGCGCGAGGUGCGCCGCCAUGGCGUUCAUGUGUCGGCCCGCGGACCAGUUCUUGGAGACGCUGAGGGAGAGCGCGCGCAUGGUGCGCGCGGAGGGCGAGGCCGCGGAGCAUCCGGAGGCCUUGGCGGUGUUGGGGGAUGCGUCGUCGGCGGGGAAGAGCCUGGCGAUGGCCCUUCGCGCGCGGGCGAGGUGCGCGGUGUGGAGCGACGGCGCGAGAAGGAGGCAGGAGGCUGCGGCGAGCGCGGCGCGGUGCGCGGCCCGGAGCGAGGCGAGCGUGAGGGACGCGGCGUUGAGGACGUCGAGCGUCUUGACGGCGCGGUCGAGGAGGUCGGUGGCGAGGCGGUCAGCGGGAGGCCUGGCGAGCGCGGCGGCGACGGGGGUGAGAGCGAGGACGCCGCGGAAGGCGGCGUCGGAGGAGACGACGGCGUCGAGGAGCUUGGAGAGGAAGGGGAGGGAGAGGAGCGGGGCGCCCGGGGUGGCGCCGUGCGCGGAGAGCGCGUUGAGACGGUCGGCGACGUGGGACUGGAGGGCGUCGAGCGCGAGGAGCUCGUCGUCCUGCGCGGGGUCGAAGGACGCGACGGCGGUGGCGCUGCGGCGGAAGCUGAGCAUGCCGAAGAAGCCCGUCCCGGAGGGCGGCGGCAGCUCGGCGGCGGCCAUGGGGCUUUGCCUUUCUGGGAAGAGGAUGAGGAGGAGGAGGAGGAGGAGGGAGGCGGAGUCGUGGUGGUCGGAGGGAAAGGAAAGGAAGAGUGGAGGGGAGGGAAUGGUGGGGAACCCCGCCUUCUUCGGGGCCGCCAUUUAUACGGGCCUCGACGAUGACGGCCGGCGCGCAUCCCCCUCGGGCCUCUGGGAGGCUGACGCGUGGGUCCACGGGAAGUUGGGAGCCACGUGUCAGUGAGAGGACGGAGGAGACGCGGGGAGCGGCGUGGACUGGUUCGUUGGAGGCGGAGGCGGCUGACUUGGUUGCCUCCCACUACGUCUACGUGUUUCGCCUGCUGACUCGGCUCGCCUCUCUUCUCUUCUCUUGUCUCCUCUUGCUCCAUGGGGCAACGGACCAUUUCCAUUUUCUUUUUUUUUUGUUUCCAAUUCUUCUUUUGUUUCCCUAUGUUUUGGACAUAAACUUACCGGUAGCUGUUCUCUGUGUGUGUCUUAUCUUAUCUUAUCUUUCUUUCUUUGCAAUAGAGAUUAUGGCAGUGACGGAUCUUGGCGAUUUAUCUCAAUCUUGGAAAUGUUGCAGAAUAUCUAAAGUUCUGACCAAAUUUAUUCUUAGAAGAAAGUAGCAAUAUUUAUAACACCAGAUAUGUACAUUACAAAAAACACAUUUCAUGACACAUCUAAUAAUACUUAUUUGAUACUAUGGUUUCGAAAAAAAAUACUUAUUUGAUGCUAUAAAUGUUUUACUUAAUCAAAUUCAAUAGGGAUUGACUUGAUACUCUGCUAUGACUAUAUAAUUUACUAAACGGAGGGAUCACGUUACAAGCAAUUUGUUCUUAAUUAUAUUAGUAGUCAAGGAGUGAAAUUAAACCUUUCAUCCUUAACAACAUUUGAGGUGGAAGGGGAGGGGACAAUCCAUUUUGUCUUAAAAAAACUCCAUCCCUUAAAGCACCUAAAAGUUAGAAAGAAGUUGAUGAUAGAAAUAAAAAUUGCUAGAAAAGUUGUAUAUCGUUUUAAAGUAGUCGUUUUCUUUCAAAUUACACUACACUAAACGAAUGUGUUGACAAGUAUAUGUGGAAGAAGCUCCAACCUUGAACAUGCUGCAAAAGAGGGCUCAGGUUGCCACUCCAAGACACGUGUAUGCUUGUGAACUAUCAUUUGUAGCUUGCUUAUAUAGGAUUUGAAUAAGUCCGUGCUUGCAUCACCAUUGUGUGACUAACUCAAAUUAUGAUAUCCGAAAGCUGUCUAACUUCAUAUAGUGCUCCUAUUAGUUGUAUGAGCCCCCGGUAUCCUCCUCAGCCCAUAGGCCGCUAGUGCGAGAAGAGUGAGGAGGAGGCCCUCCAAAUGAGGAGGAAGAAGGGGUGAUCGUGGAAAAGAGAUAGAGGUAGAGAUAGAGAGGAGGCCGACCGGUUGGACAGACAAAGAGACAAGACAUUUUCUUUUAUUUUUAUGGUUUCCACUUAUAAAUCCUGAGUUAAUCAAACAUAUUGAGACCACAUAAAUAAGUGAAAUCAAAUCAUUUGCGUAGGAUCAGAAUUAGACUUGUAUAUUACAGGUGCCCUAAAGAGAGAUGAUGAAGGAACGUAAGGAUCCGGAGGAGCAAGAGGAAAGGAAAAAAUAACGAUGAAAUGAGGAGGAAGAGCUAGCCCCCAUCGGAUCAUUGUAUUUGUAUCUGCCAUUAUGUGUUUUUAUUUCCUCUUUUCACUCAAUUUCAUACUUUAGUAUAUAUCCUUUAUUUAAAUCUUUAAUAACAAAAAGGAGCAAAUAUAUACAGCCAGCAUUGAAGCGGCAUGAUCUGUAUAAUAAUCUACAGCUAACGCGCAUACCAUUUCAUAUACUGAAUAUAGUUAAACAUUAAUUGAUGUCCAUAUCCGAAGUGAACAUAUAAAUGUGUCUACUGCUAGCUAUGUGUUAGUAUUAUAUAUUACUCCUCCUACAUAGGAGUACCCUGUACGUACAGUGCCAGCUGACUUAAAAAAAAACACAGAAGAACUAACUAGCUUGCUGAUGUUUGACGCACGCUCUUAGCUGGCUCCAAAGACUCAGCAAACGGAGUAUGAAAUAAAAUGGAGCCUCCCUAGCUGCUUGCGUGCACGAAGCGCACCAACUUAACUCAUGAGAACACCUACGCUUUUGUUUUUUAUACGUGAUGAUUUUGUUCCCCAUAUGUGAGUGUGACAUCCGUUUGUUUUUUUUUUGUGCACGUACGACAGCAAAGAAACAGGGGAGAGGAGAGGAGGAGCACACCCCAAGCGGCCGGCCAAACCCAAAGUAACCGGACAUGGCAAGCUAUGGGCUAUAUAUGGCAUCUGACUAAUAAUCAUCUCUUUGAUGAUGGAUGGAGAAGAAGAGUGUGUUUGGUAGCGCUCUAGGGAUUAGCUUCCUGUGCGCAGGCAAUCAAACGCCUCUGACCCGUUCUGGUCCGCUGGUGAAGUUUUGGAAAUCCCGUCAAAAGGAGUGUAGAAGCCGAAAACAUUUUGUUUCGUCGGACCCUCUCAAUUUUGUAGGGACAACACGUGGGCGAGGUCCAAUUUGUCCCAACGGCACAUCAACAAGGGCAAGGCUAGCGAGCGCGGUGUACGGAGAGGAGACAGGGCAUGUACUGGUGGCAUGAAGCCGGAAAACAGCAACAUUAGCGAGUUUGGGGGUAGGAGACGAUGGCACAAGCGAGACUAGCCAUGUGUGAACUAGCGCAGAGGUGUGGUCAUGUGGGGAGGUUGUGUUAGAGCGCCAGUCACAAAGAGAGGCGACACAUCCAUGCGAAGAAGAUAGAAUGGUAGAGAAAGAUAGGCAAGGCUAUUGCGCCAUGUGUGUGUAGCUCUGUCCGUCGCGCGGUGGUGAUAAGGUGGAAAGUGGAAAGAAUAGAGAGAAAUAAAUGAGAAAAUUAAAGGGAGAAAAGGUAUUAUGGAUAUUUCAUCAUUUUCAACAACUAGGAUAUUUUUGUAACGAAUGAAACUAGAAUUUUAAAAUUUAUUUAAUCAGAGAAGUUAUAGUUGAAGCUCAAAAAGAAGGGGAAAAAAGACCUAGACGGUGAAGGCAAUAAUGCAGAUAGCGCACACACGGGCAGGGCCUCUUUUGGUGUUAGCCUUAAUCAGGUGGUACAAUAUAAAGAAGGAACUACUGCCAGUGCCAUAUCCAUCAUCCAACCGUCUUACUGCUCCUCCACACAGCAUUAUAUUGCAAGAGUCAGUACAGCACUUGACGGAAAAUAUGAAAUCCAAUCCCCUUUGCUGUGUAGCGUAGUACUGUAGUUACUAUAUGCGCCCAGACGCACGUGAUGCAAUGGAAAUAUAUAGGCCUUGUUUAGUGCGCAAAAUUUUUCAUUUUUAGCUACUGUAGCACUUUCGUUUCUAUUUGACAAUCAUUGUCCAAUCACGGAGUAACUAGGCUCAAAAGAUUCAUCUCACAAAUUACAGGUAAACUAUAUAAUUAGUUUUUAUUUUUAUCUAUUUAAUACUCCAUGCAUGCGACCAAAGAUUCGAUGUGACGGAGAAUAUUGAAAAUUUUUGCGAACUAAACAAGGCCAUAGUAUGUAGCAGCCUGCAUUUACAUUUCCAGCCACACCACUCUGUGCAUAUAGAAAUCAUCCGCAUUGUAAAAACGACAGGAAGAGGCUUAAUAAAAAAACAAAGCAAAAGCAUGUCUUCCAUGCAUGUUUGUGCCGCCUGAUCACUAUACUUAAGCUCAGCCGAGCCUGUAGUUGACUCGGCAAUAAGAUUAGAGGUCCCCUCAUCAUUCAUCAAUAUAAUCUCAAAGCAGUUCUACGUGAAAAGUUAUUAUUAUUUUUUUCCAUGAAAGAAAUCGUGUAGAAAAGAUCUGCUGCUUCAUCACCAAAUUAAUACAUCUCUUCCAGCAGGUUAGUCAAGGCUUAACUCACUCUACUGGUCGUAUAUUCUUAUGUGUCCGUGAUCAUUUUUCUCCUUUGAAAACGUGGAUCGCACGUAUAUAUUUAUUUCAACCAAAUAAGAUAGCUAGAGCAUCACAGCGACUGGACCAGUAAAAAGAAAAAACAAGAGAGAAUCCACGACUAAUCUCUCUUUACCUGCUGGUACGUAGUACGGCAGAGGUAAACGCGCUGACCUGGCCAAGGGUGACUUGGUUUCACUCUCACCAUCGUGGACGCGGUCGUGAUAGCCAAAUAGGCGCAGCAGAUCCCUACACGGCUGGCUACACUAUACAUAGGGCCAUCCCGUCCGCUGACUGUGGAGACCCCACGGAUUAUAUAUGCGGGCUGGCUUUGUAGGACAUGGUGUGCGCGUGUCACUGUCACCUACCAAAGGCAGGGGAGGGGAGGGGAGUAGCGGACGGUGACGUGUGCAUCCACGAAAAAUUUGUCAACUCAAGUACUGAACUCUGUAAACUGUAAUACGUACUAGUACAUUAGAAGAUACUAUGACUCGGGACUCUUAAUUGGUGCUUGGGCGGCGCUCGUACACGUAUGUGCACGGCCUCUUCAUAGGCUGAGCAAUCUACAAUACAUUCGUUCGUUUGUUUAUUCACGUAGAGAGAAGUAGCGAAACAUUACAUAUACUCUCUCUUUGCAUGUUUACAUGUAUUAAUUUUGUUCUAAGAGCAACACCAGCAGUAGUCCCAAAAAUAUGGUCCCUACUUUUUAUAGGUGCUUUCCCUAUUUUUUUGGGUGCUCAAAAUUUUUUGCUUCCACUCCAACAACACCCCUCAAAUAAAGGCCUCCAAAUCUAAAUUGACAGAUAAUGACAUGUGGGAUCCAACGUCAUUGGUCAAACCUUUCUUCCUCAUAUCCUCCACACAGAGGCCGGAACGUAAAGGAGAUGAGAGCUCUCAGCGCAUCAGGGGCAACGCUCACGUGGCGGAGAAGAGGCCGCGCCGAAGUUGCACAUCGACGAAUCUACCCAGUGGUGGAGGUCAGGGGUGGAGGGAGGGAGCACGGUAGUGGAGAUUAGCGCCGAAGGGAGGUGGACGAGGCUGCGUUUGUAUGGUGUGGGGAGGUAAUGGUUAGUCCACACAGGAUGGGGGCUAGGCUGUUGGGCCAACAGAAAUGGGUCUACAAGGAAGAUUUGGGUGCGCGCUCCAAAUUGGAGACACUAGUAGGGGCUCUCAUGGAGUGUUGCUUUUCGACUGAGCACCUAUAUUUAGUUAUAGGGGCUCAAGUAGAAAGUCUUGCUGGAGUUGGUCUCAAACAUCUUCAUCUUUAACCGUCAAUUAAAAAAAGGGUAUAAGUUACCAAGAUAAAGGUUUGUAACGAAAGCUCCGUUCGUAUGGCAUGGCGAUGGAGCUUUUUUUUUUUUUUGACCUCAAGCGCGAGCGCCUCUCUGUAAACUCCUAAGUUUUACCAGUUUUGUAGUUCCAGCAUCACUCAAAUUAAACAUGGCGGCCUAUCAUUUCAGUGUCCUCUAGCUAAAAUUAAACCACAAUGUCACUGUCAUCUCUGGCAAAAAUUAAAUUUGCCUCAUUAUUUUUUAAAAGAAUAAAUAUAAAUCGACAGGGUAAGCUUUGCAGUCUGACCGGCCGCUGGCGUGAUAUAUUUAAUUGGCCGGCAGAGAGAUGCAUGAGAGACAGAUCAUGUAUGAGGCCUCGAUUAGUUACAUCCGAAAUCCAUUUUUUUUAAGAUUUACCAUAACAUCAAAUCUUUAAAAUAAUAACUAAUUAUACAAUUUAUCUGUAAUUUAUGAGAUAAAUCUUUUAAGUAUAGUUAGAUAAUAAUUACCAAAUACAAACGAAAAUACUAUAGUAUUUAAAAACUUUUUAUUGGAGGAAACUAACAUACGUCAGUGUGCCAAGGCCAAAGCCGAGAGGUUGAUGCGCAGAUGGCAGUGAUGGAUGGAGCAGUGAGAGGAUCGGAGGUGAUGAAUUGAAUGAGUGCAUGCGCGUAUAUAGAUACGUGGAUCACACGAUCGAGCAAGCGAGCGACGACGGACUCCAUCUGCCUGCCUGCCGUGUCCAGACGAUCGACUAGCAGCAAGACCGUAGUAUAAUACUGUACGUAGAUGCAUGCUCAGCUACUCGUUCGUCUGUCUGCCUUGCUUUUUAAUAAUUAAUCCCUUCUUGUUCUUACCUACACGUUUUUUACCAAGACCCGAUGGAUGGGAACUGAAUGGAAUUGACAGAUGAGAUGAACAAGAACAAUUAAUUAAUAUAUGCAUCAUCAGCUAGCUGAUCAGCAUCAGCAUCACCCCAAUCUAUAUAUGCAAUCUAAAAAUUACCAGCCUGCGAAAACGACGAACCAUCCUCUGCCGGCCACUCUCGUAGAUAUAUAUUUUUUCCCAUGCAUCAUGCAUGUAUGUAGAAUAUCUGUUCCUUGUCUGCGCCGGCGCCAGCGUCGCCGUCACGGCCGUCGCUUCACCGCUCCACCACGCGUAUACAAAUACAAUAAGGCAUUGUUUACAUUCAAUUUUUUUUUAUUUUGAUACUGUAGCACUUUUGUUUUUAUUUAUGAAACAUUAUUCAAUUAUGGAGCAACUAGGCUUAACAGAUUCGUCUCGUGAUUUACAGAUAAACUAUGCAAUUAGUUAUCUUUUUUAUCUAUAUUUAAUGUUCCAUGCAUAUGCCGCAAGAUUCGAUGUGAUAGUAAAUAUUGUAAAGUUUUAGGUUUUUAGGUGUAUCUAAACAAGGCCUAAUACAGGCGAAGACGGCGCCCCUGCCCACCGGCUCGCCUCCGGCACUCAGCGGCACCCAUCGACAGCAUGCAGGGUGUUUGGUUAGGGGCGUUAAAAUUUAGCAUAUACGUAAUUAGUGUCUAAUCAUGCUAAUUAGACUCAAAAGAUCUGUCUCGUAAAUUAUUCUUUAGCUGUGUUUUUAGUUUUGUAAAUAGUCUAUAUUUAAUACUUUAUGUAUGUGUCUAUAUUUAAUACUUAUUCAAAAGAAGGUUAAUCUAUGAAGAAGAUGAGUGGGAGGUGUUUACUUAGGCUCGCAAAGAUGAAACGUAUGCUAGAAUGCCAAGAGAGUGAUCUCCAAGCCGGCCAACACGUAUUUCUAGCCCACUCAAACAAAUAGAGCCGUUGGCUCUUUCACUCGGCUGAAAUCGGAGUCACCGGACGCGCCGCAGGGAACCACCGGACGAUCAAGCCCAGCGUCCGGUGCCCUGAAAACGGCCACGUGUCGUCCUUUUUACUUUCACGCGUCGAUCUCUUAACACUCACCUGCAGACCACCGGACGCGUCCAGUACUCACCGGACCCUUGCGCAGAGAGGUCCGCAAAGAUGCUCGAUCACCGGACGCUGAGCACCAGACUCGUCCUGUGCUCACCAGUCUCAUACACAGAGAGGUUCGCAAGAUGUUCACACAUCGGACGCUGAGCACCGGACUCACUCCGGUGCGUCUGGUGCCCAUCAGAAAACUGCGCAGUCUAGCGCACCAACCCUAACAAGCACCGGACGCGCACACAGUAGAUCUUUUAUGUCCCGUGCAGAGCGUCCGGUGCACUCUGCUCUCUUUGGUCAGACACCGACAAUGCACCAGACGUGUCCGGUGCCUCUGUGCACUGCGUCCGGUGAAUGUUUUUCUAGUAAGAAACACUCCCGCGACUUCCGAAAGACUUCCAUCGACGUAAUAGAAAAUAUGCCUUUUAUUUUCUCAAAAGCGCCGAAUUCCACCUCGCAAGCUCGGCGGAAGGAAAAGUGAAACCCACACCCAUCUCUACUCUUCAAACUCCACCUCCUUUUUAAAGUUGGCCCUUUAAGUAAUGGCAUCAUAUCUAGUGCAAACUAUAACUUUCGUGAAAACCUGUGUAAACCACGACAAAAAGGCUGUCUAAAUUCACCCAAAAAAAGCACACAUGUUGAUGUUAUGAUUAUACACAACCUUAUAAAAUAUCUUGUCCAAAUUCGAAUUCAUUUAAGAGAUAUAAAAAU